CAAGUCGGCACUCGUUGGUUGAACCCUUUCUGUGGACCGGUCUCGAAUGCGUCCUGCUUCUCGCUGGAGUCACCCAUGAUCCCAAUGAGGACAAGCAGCAAAGCAAAUGGCUAGAUGAAUGGAAUGAAAUACAGCUGCCAUCAAGGGUACGGACUGGCAGUUUGGGAGAGUUGGAGCACCCACAGGGUCAGGUUGAUUGAUUGCUUUGACACGCAAAGGUCAUCAUCGCCAGGGCACUGCAGCCUCCGACGCAGCGCCAAGGUCUCAGAAGCUGGCGCCAGUUGAAUUGCCUCCCUUUCCCUGUAAAUAUUGAGCAUUUUUUUGGUUCUUAGAGGCCUUUUUCAGGGACGCUGUUGAUGUCUGCUGUCGAGGGAGCCAAGUGAAGGCGUGAGAGUCUUAAAGUCAGAUGAAUGACAAAGGAGGGGAUGUAGAUUUGGCUGGCGUUGUUCUCUGCUUUCAAACUAUUGCAGCUUUUGUAUCCCUCCUAUUAUUACAAUAAGUUGCUGACCCCGACACAACAGUGUACAGGUUAGCAGGUUAGUUUACAUUUGGCUCGGGCUCAUUUUUUCCCAACAGUUCAAAUGUAGGCCAACAUGACAUUUUCAUCACAAGGCUUUUAUAAUCAACAGCACAAUAUAUCGAAUCCAUCUCAUGGUUGUAUUAUGUCCUAAAUGACGAAAAAAAUCAUCUCUGA